CUCACCCCAUCGUCCUGCAGACGUUGAUCCUGUCUAUCACGUAACGGUGCCUACGCGAAUCCGCUUCUGCAUUCUGAAACGAGAAGAGACAACGAUUAAUGAAAUCUUCCAAAAUUACAAGCCCCGUUUAACAAGAUUCUACGUGGAACUAUGGACUUCUACUUUGUAUAAAUGCUGCUAUUGAAGAGAAUCAGUAAGCAGCCCCGAUAUUCAUCCGGGACGAAUAAUGAACGAUUGAGUAUCGAGUUUACAAUGAUUUUCUGUUUCACGGGGACACUGAUGGUCUUUGUGCGCGACUGUGCGCGACCGGGCUAUCGUGACAUUAAGAUUCCAAGAGGGAGGCCUGACAGACGGCCGUGCAACGCCAUAUUCGCUUUGCUUUCGUCCACGAACUUUAGCUUCUCUGUCACGCAACUAAUUCCCCUUUGCUUUUCUUGCGGGAUUGGAAAAAAGAAAAAGAAUAUGAAAAAAUGCCGACUUCCAAGAGCACACCGGCGCAACUGAUAGCGUUUCAACGACGGUAUUGAUAUUGCUGAACGAUCUUUUGGUUUUUUCAUGGCGUCGGAAUUUUUUGCUAACCGCCACCCAUGGCCCGAGACGUUCGAGACGAUCUAACAACCGAUCCUCGUUUAUUUCUCUGUUCCACUUUGUUUCAUCCUUGCAGAAACAUCGGAUAGCGCGUGAAGAAUUCGAAGCACGGUUUAUUUUACAGGCUGCGAAGGUUUAAAACCAGUUCGAAGCUGACGAGGCGCGAGGCGCUCGAAACUGCAAGGAUUCACUGUCGCGAGGUAAUUGAACGUGUCUCGCUCGUUGCAUCUAUGGCAGCCAUAUAACGAGAAGGAGACUUAGACGAUCCGUGAGCUCGCAAUCAGCGAGUCUAUCGGGCCAGAUUAUGCCAGUUAAGUGUUACGUAACGAAAGACAUCGACCCUUAGCCUGGCGCUGUACACGCGACUCCACGACAUGGAUUUGCAAUUCGAACGUCUAUAGGCGUAAUAUGUGUAAAUCGAGAGGCUACUCGGCAUGUCCGCGCCAACGGAUAAACGUGGUUGGAAGAGGGAAAGUACGCGGAAAGGGAAACUAGACUUUUCUGCGCCAUCAGAUGAAACUGGAUGGAUUGAAAGGUGUAGAAAUAAAAGGAACAAUGCGAGUUAAGAAUAUCGCGGUAUCUUUCUUUUUUUUUUUUUUUUUCUUCUUCUCAAGAUCGAGCGGAUAACAGCAUCGUUAUACCGCAACAUGGAUGCAACAGCUGCAACACAAGUCACGUUUGUUUGGCUUAAGGCAAUUCCCGUCAUUUCGUAUGUGAGCUCUUUCAAGAAAUUUUUUCUGUAAACGUUCGUCGAAGAAUAAAGAAUCCAUUAUGUGGUGUUAA